AGCAUAAGAUGGAAAGAGGGAAAAAUUUAAAAAAAAGUUCCGUUGCCGGGAAUCGAACCCGGGUCUCCUGGGUGAAAGCCAGAUAUCCUAACCGCUGGACGACA